rnacentral:lncRNA from 1 species
GGAGAGGCCCUUGCAACGGCCCUUAUGUGCCCCCACAGCCAUGUUAGGAACAGAAGGAGAACCUCGUCCUAACAUGAGCAAGAUCGAAGGCCCAAUUAUUUUAAGACUGGAUGGGGGGAGAGGCCCUUGCAACGGCCCUUAUGUGCCUCCACAGUCCUGUUAGGAACAGGAAGAGAACCUCGUCCUAACAUGAGCAAAGUCGAAGGCCC